GUGGGGUUGUGGCUCAGUGGUUGAGCGUCCACCUAGCACGUGCAAGGCCCUGGAUUCAAUCCUCAGCACUACA
rnacentral:tRNA from 1 species